GCUGUUUAACAGCAUCCAGCAGUUUGAAACUAUCCGUCGGGUGUAUCACAUUGUUUUCUGUGCACUUUUCAGUGGAGUCUAUUGGCAUUGUCUAUUUUUAUCGUAAGGAUGAUGGAACUUGAAGAAGACCUCUUGUUGCUGUCGCCGGUGGGAGAUGUUCCGCCGACGCCUUCUACGUCUACGACGAAGCGUGCGGCGGCUUCUCCGGCUUCUAACACCGACAAGAGAGGGCGUACGGACGAUCCCAAUGGUAUGAGGCUGGUUGUAAAAAGACCAAAGAACGAUGUGGACGGCGAUUUUUAUGAUAAGCUGAUGUCUGAGUUAGUGACGCGGCAAGUAGCGAUACCUCUGGACCAACAGCAACCAGUGUUUCUCGGUUCUGGUAUCUCCUUCGGAGUAGUUUGGUUCACCGCCAAAGACCAAUUCAGCUAUGACUGGUUGAAAGCGACCUUGGCGACAUUUUGAUUAAAAAUAUAGUGUCCCCCUUUGAGAUACUUGCUCAGUCAGCACCUGAUCCACUCCAUAGAAUGAUCAUUUCAACUCCACUGAUACCCAAAACCCAAACAACAUUUACAUGAAAAAUCAUAUAUGGAUAAAAUUUUCUUAAAUAAAUAAAUUUGAACUAAAUCAGA